rnacentral:rRNA from 1 species
AACGAACGCUGGCGGCAUGCCUAAAACAUGCAAGUCGAACGGGUGUAGCAAUACACCAGUGGCAGACGGGUGCGUAACACGUGGGAACCUGCCCAGAAGUUCGGAAUAGCUGCGGGAAACUGCAGGUAAUACCGAAUGUUGCCUGAGGGCUAAAGGAGCAAUCCGCCUUCGGAGGGGCCCGCGUCCGAUUAGCUAGUUGGCGAGGUAACGGCUCACCAAGGCGACGAUCGGUAGCUGGUCUGAGAGGAUGACCAGCCACACUGGAACUGAGAUACGGUCCAGACUCCUACGGGAGGCAGCAGUUGGGAAUAUUGGACAAUGGGGGAAACCCUGAUCCAGCAAUGCCGCGUGGGUGAUGAAGGCCUUCGGGUUGUAAAGCCCUUUUGGCGGGGACGAUGAUGACGGUACCCGCAGAAUAAGCCCCGGCUAACUUCGUGCCAGCCGCCGCAGUAAAAC